AUGUUGAACAUGAUGGGGACACAGAUGAGGAUGAAUCAGAGGAGGAGGACAAAGAGGAGGAUGACAAAGAAGAAGAUGAAUAGGAGGAGGAGGAGGAUGAGUAGGAGGAGGAGGAAGAAGAGGAUAAAGAAGACGAGGAGGACAAAGAAGAAGAGGACAAAGGAGAGGAGGAGGACAAGUAAGAAGAUAAUGAGGCAGAGGAGGAGGAAGAAGAUGAGGCCAAAGAGGGGGAUGGAGACAAAGGUGCAGCAGUUGAUGGCAGUGAGGGGGAAGGAGAUGAUGAGGAUGUUGAUCGUGAUGAUCAAGGGGGAUCCAAUGGAGACAGUGAUAGCACUGAUGACGAUGAUGACAAGGGCCCUGGUUCCGGGGGUACAGGCGGCAACACAACUAGGGCGACUAGCAGCACUGUCAACCCUAGCAGCAGCAACAACUCAAUGA
rnacentral:rRNA from 1 species